AUGCGGUAUGACGGUACCCUUUCGAAUAAGAGGUUGCUAACUCUGUGCCAGCAGCAGCGGUAAUACAGAGACCUCGAGCGUUAUCCGGAUUUACUGGGCGUAAAGCGUCUGUAGGGGGUUUGUUAAGUUCCAAGUAAAAUCUUAAGGCUCAACUUUAAGUUCGCUUGGAAAACUAAUAAACUGGAGUCCAGCAGAGGUGCAUGGAACUUGCGGUGUAGGAGUGAAAUCCGUUGAUAUCGCAAGGAACACCAAAGGCGAAGGCAUUGCACUGGGCUGGUACUGACCCUGAGAGACGAAAGCGUGGGGAGCAAAACGGAUUAGAUACCCGUGUAGUCCACGCCGUAAACGAUGGAUACUAGAUGUUCGGGGAUUCGACCCCCUGGGUGUCACAGCUAACGCGUUAAGUAUCCCGCCUGGGAAGUACGGCCGCAAGGCUAAAACUCAAAGGAAUAGACGGGGAUCCGCACAAGCGGUGGAGCGUCUGGUUUAAUUUGAUAGUAAGCAAUGGACCUCACCAAGGUUUGACAUCCUAUGACAACCCUGGAAACAGGGCUUCCUUCGGGCAUAGUGACAGGUGCUGCAUGGUCGCCGUCAGUUCGUGCCGUGAGGUGUUCCGUUAAGUCGGGAAACGAACGGAACCCUCGUCGCAUGUUACAAAUUUCAUGCGAGACUGCCCGGGUCAACCGGGAGGAAGGCGGGGAUGACGUCAGAUCAGCAUGGCCCUUAUACCUUGGGCUACACAGGCGCUACAAUGGCCGGUACAAAGGGUUGCAAAACCGCGAGGUGAAGCUAAUCCCAUAAAGCCGGUCCAAGUUCGGAUUGGAGGCUGCAACUCGCCUCCAUGAAGUUGGAAUCGCUAGUAAUCGUGGAUCAGCCAUACCACGGUGAUACGUUCCCGGAUCUUGUACUCACCGCCCGUCACACCAAGAGAGUUGGUAGCUCCUGAAGC
rnacentral:rRNA from 1 species